rnacentral:tRNA from 13 species
UCCAGUGGACGGGAUUUGAACCCGCAUUCUUCAUAACCAUUUUAUGACGCAUUGCCAUUCUGCCACCACUGG